UAUCUACAGGCUUAACACAUGCAAGUCGAGGGGCAGCAUGGUCUUAGCUUGCUAAGGCCGAUGGCGACCGGCGCACGGGUGAGUAACACGUAUCCAACCUGCCGUCUACUCUUGGACAGCCUUCUGAAAGGAAGAUUAAUACAAGAUGGCAUCAUGAGUCCGCAUGUUCACAUGAUUAAAGGUAUUCCGGUAGACGAUGGGGAUGCGUUCCAUUAGAUAGUAGGCGGGGUAACGGCCCACCUAGUCUUCGAUGGAUAGGGGUUCUGAGAGGAAGGUCCCCCACAUUGGAACUGAGACACGGUCCAAACUCCUACGGGAGGCAGCAGUGAGGAAUAUUGGUCAAUGGGCGAGAGCCUGAACCAGCCAAGUAGCGUGAAGGAUGACUGCCCUAUGGGUUGUAAACUUCUUUUAUAAAGGAAUAAAGUCGGGUAUGGAUACCCGUUUGCAUGUACUUUAUGAAUAAGGAUCGGCUAAUUCCGUGCCAGCAGCCGCGGUAAUACGGAGGAUCCGAGCGUUAUCCGAAUUUAUUGGGUUUAAAGGGAGCGUAGAUGGAUGUUUAAGUCAGUUGUGAAAGUUUGCGGCUCAACCGUAAAAUUGCAGUUGAUACUGGAUAUCUUGAGUGCAGUUGAGGCAGGCGGAAUUCGUGGUGUAUCGGUGAAAUGCUUAGAUAUCACGAAGAACUCCGAUUGCGAAGGCAGCCUGCUAAGCUGCAACUGACAUUGAGGCUCGAAAGUGUGGGUAUCAAACAGGAUUAGAUACCCUGGUAGUCCACACGGUAAACGAUGAAUACUCGCUGUUUGCGAUAUACGGCAAGCGGCCAAGCGAAAGCGUUAAGUAUUCCACCUGGGGAGUACGCCGGCAACGGUGAAACUCAAAGGAAUUGACGGGGGCCCGCACAAGCGGAGGAACAUGUGGUUUAAUUUGAUGAUACGCGAGGAACCUUACCCGGGCUUAAAUUGCAGAUGAAUUACGGUGAAAGCCGUAAGCCGCAAGGCAUCUGUGAAGGUGCUGCAUGGUUGUCGUCAGCUCGUGCCGUGAGGUGUCGGCUUAAGUGCCAUAACGAGCGCAACCCUUGUUGUCAGUUACUAACAGGAUUUGUUGAGGACUCUGACAAGACUGCCAUCGUAAGAUGUGAGGAAGGUGGGGAUGACGUCAAAUCAGCACGGCCCUUACGUCCGGGGCUACACACGUGUUACAAUGGGGGGUACAGAGGGCCGCUACCACGCGAGUGGAUGCCAAUCCCAAAAACCUCUCUCAGUUCGGACUGGAGUCUGCAACCCGACUCCACGAAGCUGGAUUCGUUAGUAAUCGCGCAUCAGCCACGGCGCGGUGAAUACGUUCCCGGGCCUUGUACACACCGCCCGUCAAGCCAUGGGAGCCGGGGGUACCUGAAGUGCGUAACCGCGAGGAGCGCCCUAGGGUAAAACUGGUGACUGGG
rnacentral:rRNA from 1 species